rnacentral:rRNA from 1 species
CCUACGGGAGGCAGCAGUGGGGAAUAUUGGGCAAUGGAGGCAACUCUGACCCAGCAACGCCGCGUGAAUGAUGAAGGUCUUCGGAUUGUAAAGUUCUGUGAUGGGGGAUGAACACAAUGACGGUACCCCAAUAGCAAGCCACGGCUAACUACGUGCCAGCAGCCGCGGUAAUACGUAGGUGGCAAGCUUUAUCCGGAAUGAAUGGGCGUAAAGGUUGCGUAGGUGGUUUAGUAAGUUGGCGGUGUAAUUCCGGGUGUAAACCUCGGCGCGACCGCCAAAACGAUUAGACUAGAGUGCAGGAGGGGUAAGUGGAAUGCCUAGUGUAGCGGUGGAAUGAGUAGAUAUUAGGAGGAACAUCAGGGGCGAAGGCGACUUACUGGACUGUAACUGACACUGAGGCACGAAAGCGUGGGGAGCAAACAGGAUUAGAUACCCCAGUAGUC